rnacentral:rRNA from 1 species
GACGAACGCUGGCGGCGUGCUUAACACAUGCAAGUCGAACGGUAAGGCCCUUCGGGGUACACGAAUGGCGGACGGGGGAGUAACACGGGGGGGAACUGCCCUGCACUUCGGGAUAAACCUGUGAAACUGGGUCUAAUAACGGGUAGGACCACUGCAAGCAGGGGUGGGGGUGGAAGGGUAUGGCGGGCUGGGAUGGGCGCGCGGCCAAUGAGCUUGUUGGUGGUGUGGUGGCGUACGAAGGAGACGAGGGCUAGCCGGGCUGAGAGGGAGACCGGCCACACUGGGACUGGGAUACGGCCCAGACUCCUACGGGAGGCAUCAAUGGGGAAUAUUGCACAAUGGGCGCAAGCCUGAUGCAGCGACUCCGCGUGAGGGAGGACGGCCGGCGGGGUGUAAACCUCUUUCAGCACCGACGAAGCGCAAGUGACGGUAGGUGCAGAAGAAGGACCGGCCAACUACGUGCCAGCAGCCGCGGUAA